AGUGAACGCUGGCGGUAGGCCUAACACAUGCAAGUCGAACGGCAGCACAGUAAGAGCUUGCUCUUACGGGUGGCGAGUGGCGGACGGGUGAGGAAUACAUCGGAAUCUACUUUUUCGUGGGGGAUAACGUAGGGAAACUUACGCUAAUACCGCAUACGACCUACGGGUGAAAGCAGGGGAUCUUCGGACCUUGCGCGAUUGAAUGAGCCGAUGUCGGAUUAGCUAGUUGGCGGGGUAAAGGCCCACCAAGGCGACGAUCCAUAGCUGGUCUGAGAGGAUGAUCCGCCACACUGGAACUGAGACACGGUCCAGACUCCUACGGGAGGCAGCAGUAGGGAAGAUUGGACAAUGGGCGCAAGCCUGAUCCAGCCAUACCGCGUGAGUGAAGAAGGCCUUCGGGUUGUAAAGCCCUUUUGUUGGGAAAGAAAAGCAGCAGGUUAAUACCCCGCUGUUCUGACGGUACCCAAAGAAUAAGCACCGGCUAACUUCGUG
rnacentral:rRNA from 1 species